rnacentral:lncRNA from 1 species
UAGCACUUAAUAGCAAACCAAAGAUGCCCCUUCAGUACCCAACAGUAGAAGACCAGCACCUCCCAGGUCUAAAACUCAUCUCAGAGGCUUGUUCUUCCCUGGCUGUGAAGGCUCCUGCCUAUAGGUAGGCCUUUUUACACCUGUACUUUCAGUCUUCUAUCUCCACUAUCUUUCUGGUGAGCUUUCCUUUCAAAAAGGAUCCUAUUUCUGAAGCCGAGCCAUUUUUCCUUACAGGGAAAGCCAGGUGGCUAUGCAAGAGCCAUCAGCCCAGCAGAGGCGCAUCCGCUAUGCCCAUCAUCCCGGUGAUGUCUUCUGAGAUGCUCUCAUGGAAACUAAUGCCAACGCAACAGGAACACCAUGCAACAGCAAAGAGUGCCCAAGACACACCCCUGCCUGCAUUGGGGGCUAAAAAAACCCCCUCACAGGCCAGCCGUCUAUGAUCUUCCACCAUCUGAAGCAUGGAUGAACCAAAGUUAAAAGAUGUCACAACAGCUUUGACCAGACCAUGUGGGACACAGCCUGUGAAUUCUCAGGAGCCUAAUGCUGAGAUGAAGAUCUCUUUCCAGAAAAUGACCCAUUUGGUUUCUCUCCAGGAUCAUAUGUAACAUCAUUCCACAGUAGUGAGAUGGCAAAGCACAUCCUACUAAUGCCCAAGCCUACUGUUAACUUGCUGUAUGACUUUUCAU